rnacentral:rRNA from 1 species
CGACCUUGACAUCCCAGGAAUCUUUCAGAGAUGAGAGAGUGCUACUUCGGUAGAGCCUGGUGACAGGUGCUGCACGGCUGUCGUCAGCUCGUGUCGUGAGAUGUUGGGUUAAGUCCCGCAACGAGCGCAACCCUCGUGAUUAGUUGCUAACGCUUCGGGCGAGCACUCUAAUCAGACUGCCUUCGCAAGGAGGAGGAAGGUGAGGACGACGUCAAGUCAUCAUGGCCCUUACGGCCGGGGCGACACACGUGCUACAAUGGGCAGGACAGUGAGAGGCGAUACCGCGAGGUGGAGCAAAUCUACAAACCUGCUCUCAGUUCGGAUUGCAGUCUGCAACUCGACUGCAUGAAGCUGGAAUCACUAGUAGUCGCGAAUCAGCCAUGUCGCGGUGAAUACGUUCCCGGGUCU